rnacentral:rRNA from 1 species
AUUGAACGCUGGCGGCAGGCUUAACACAUGCAAGUCGAGCGGAGAUGAGGUGCUUGCACCUUAUCUUAGCGGCGGACGGGUGAGUAAUGCUUAGGAAUCUGCCUAUUAGUGGGGGACAACAUUCCGAAAGGAAUGCUAAUACCGCAUACGCCCUACGGGGGAAAGCAGGGGAUCUUCGGACCUUGCGCUAAUAGAUGAGCCUAAGACGGAUUAGCUAGUUGGUGGGGUAAAGGCCUACCAAGGCGACGAUCUGUAGCGGGUCUGAGAGGAUGCUCCGCCACACUGGGACUGAGACACGGCCCAGACUCCUACGGGAGGCAGCAGUGGGGAAUAUUGGACAAUGGGCGGAAGCCUGAUCUAGCCAUGCCGCGUGUGUGAAGAAGGCCUUUGGGUUGUAAAGCACUUUAAGCGAGGAGGAGGCUACCUGGAUUAAUACUCUAGGAUAGUGGACGUUACUCGCAGAAUAAGCACCGGCUAACUCUGUGCCAGCCGCCGCGGUAAUAC